UGGCAGCCCGGAUGUGGCUCUCUCCUGC
rnacentral:sRNA from 1 species